AGUGCCAUAACUUGAUGCAGGAGAAGUGUGCCAGCCAGAUGACUUUGCCAGCCAGCAUGCUGCCAAAGACUUCACAAAAUGUCUCUCUUAUUGGAAAGAAAAGCGUUUGGAUGUCUCUCUGCACGUGUUCGACGCGCCAUUUCUGAAAGGAUACAAGCCAAAGAAAGCUUUGCAGCUUCCACUUGGGUCUCCUGGAACACUCACUCUGGGAGAAGACAGCUGUCACGUAAGAAGCCUGACUACCCUGAGAUCACUUUGCUUUGAGGAAGCUCAAGCUGCCACCUGAAGAGGCUGUGUGGAGAGAGAAAUGCCUGAUAAGCCCCUAGCUGUUUCAGGCAUCUCAGCUGAUAAGCCAGACAUGUGACUAAGGAAGCCAUCUUGGACAUCCAGCUGAGGUGAGGCUUCUGAUGACUCCAUCCAUCUGACUGUAACCACCCGAGAGAAUGCAACAUCACCUAACUGAGCUCAGUCAACCUAUAGGACCAUGAGAGAUAAUAAUAAUUUUUUUAAACUACUAUAUUUUAGUGUAGUUUGUUACACAGCAAUAGAUAUAACCCAAACACUUCAGAUUGAGAGAGAGAGAUUGAGAGAGAGAGAGAGAGAGAGAGAGAGAGAGAGAGAGAGAGAGAAAGUUGAACAUGAAAUGCAAUUGCACUAACCUGACUCCCUUCUUUUUUUCUCACCUCAGAUAGUGUCUAUGAGCAAAUCUCAUAAUCUCUAUUUUAUUUUUUCUUUUUCACUUUUCAGAUUUUUUAAAGUUUUUAAAAUUGAAGUAUAGCUAAUUUAGAAUGUUUUGUUAGUUUCAGGUGUACAGCAAUGUGAUUCAGUUAUAUAGGUUGUUGGAAGCACUUUUGAUAAGGCCUGAACCUCCAAUAUUUUCUAAGGGAACUUAGACACUAGUGAUGUGAUGAACAUGCAAGUGAAGACAGAAACAGAAUGGCCUUAGGGGCUGCAUCAGUUGGGGACAUACUCUAUGGAGCUAUGAAGUAGGAGAGAACCUGGAAGUCAUUCAAUGCAACAGGAGAAUUGUCAGCCCUUGGGGCCCCUUUCUUUGUUCAUUAUUGAGUACCUAGACAUCUAAAAUGUGUAAAUAACUGGAAAUGGACAAAAAUGUCCAGACAGGUUAUUUCGAGUAAUGAAGAGAUGAUGUUAUCAAAGAAGAUUAAAGGUUCUAAAUUAGGGGAGCCUAGCUGAACAAUGGUUAAGGAAUGGCAGCAUAUGAGGAUGUCAGUGCCAAAGAGAAAGGUGUAUCUUAGUCACUUGCAGCUUUGGGUUAGAGCCUAUGAGGGAGGAGGAAGAAGGGGGACAGAGAGCAGUGGAGUCAAGACGAAGAGACAGGCUUAGGAUGUAUAAAUAGUAGGAUUUUUAGGUUAAAAUCUCUUCAGUCAACCACAGCCAUUGCAAUUUAAGCAGGCAAAUUUUGAUAUAGCAGAAAAAGUACCAACAUGCCUAUUGGGAGGUCUUUGUCCUGCUACCAACAGGCAGUAUAGACUUGGCAAGUACCUUGCCUUCUCUGGGUCUCAGGAAGGCAUGUUGUACUUAUAAAAGACUCUACAUAGUUUUAUAUCAAUUAUAAUAAAAUGAGCAGUAGCACUUUAUGCAAUCUAAGCUCCUUUUCAACUAUAAAAACCUUAUGGUUCUAAACUGUAGAAAUAGGAGACAGUUUUAGAAUUUAAAAAUUAAGUAAUUAGGCUUAUAGGCUGGAGAUACGUAUAAAAAGCUUUGAUUGAGAUUUUGUGUAAUACAUAAUGGAAAAUGUUUAGGUAAGGGUAAGGAUCUUUAUUUUAUUUCUUGAUAUAUCCCAAGUACCUAGAACAAUGCCAACAUGUAGCAGAUGCUAAUAAACAUAUUUGUGGAUUGACUGAAUGAGCUAUUCCUGGGAAAUCAAGGACAAAAAUGGCCUAAAAAGCAGACACAUCAACUAUAAGUCUGUCCUUAUCUCUUAUUUUUAUGAAAUUUUCUCACUUAGUUCUAUUGCUUGGCAAACACUGAUAUACAAAUUUCUAAACAAUAUUUAGUCUUGCUUCUCUUCUUUAUUUUAAAGAUAAAUAGGGAGACAUGUAUUUUUCCAACUAAUGUUAACUCACUAGUUUAUAAUUUUUUUAUUUUUACAUUUUUAAUUAAGAAAAAUCUCAAGCACAUAAACAGAAUACCCACCACCCCGAUUCAGCAAUUAUCAACAUUCUAUGAUUUUAGUUUUAUUUAUACCUCCAUCAUUUCUUACUCCCACUGGAUUAUAUGUGAUUAUUUUUUAAAAUAGAUUUUCCUCCAUCUAAUAAAACAAAAUUUAGCAUUCUAGUUAUCUUGUCCUAGUGUGCUCAUUUAUAGGUGUUUCAAUUUCCCAAUUUUUUAGUAUAUUACUGAGUUGCAUAGAACUUCUUUAGGGUGCUAUUUCUUCUGACUCUGGAUUCAGUAAAAUUGCAACCAUUUUAGAAAAGCUCUCUGUGGAUGAGCCCCCUUGUACACAGGGUUUCAGAGUUGUUCUGUUCAGAUGUCUUGGUUACAAACAUUAGAACUCACCAUAGCUGGUUCAGCAGAAAACAUAUCUAACAGAUUUGAGAAGGCUCAAUAGACCCCCGGAGAGGAUUAGAGACCCAGGCUUGAAGAUAUGUGGGCAGGAACAACACUCAAAUGGCAUUUCAGGAUGGGGAUCCAGAAAAGGAUCCAUCAUUGCUGUCACUGGGCGCAGACACCACAGAUUGCCCCAUUGAUCCCGGGCAAUGGAAGCUGAACUGCUGUCAUCGUUGUCCCUGAAAGCCAUUGCCUCUGCCAUCACCUUCAGAGAAUGGUCUCCACCGUGUCUGCUUCCUCAUGUUUGUCUCUUUUAAACUGAAAUCUCAUUAAGUGCACUUCAUUGGCUGAGUCUAUUCAUUGGCUGAAGUGUUUAUGCCCUAGCUUCCAGGAAGGCUGGGCGAGUGAGUUUCUGGAUUCUAGGUUUGGAAAACCAGACUCAUAAGGUGGGCCAUUCCCCAAAUUUAGAUGUUCAAAUGUUCUGGAUGGCCACAAAUUAUGACAUGUGUUUAUUAAAGUAUCUUUAAAUCCAAAAUGGUCUUUGAAGGAAUUCCUAGACCGUAUGAAAGGGAUAAUACAGUUGAUUGACCUACAUGCAAGAAACAAUGUGUUCAUUUCUUCUCGGAGAGGAGAGGGAUCCUUAUUCUUUUAGCUUUAAAAAAGCCUACCUGGGAAAAGAAUCUACAAAAGAGGGGAUAUAUGUAUAUGUAUAACUGAUUUACUUUGCUGUACACCUGAAACUAACACAACAUUGUAUAUCAACUAUACUCCAAUAAAAAAUUGUUUUUAAAAAGUCA